GGGUAUGUCUUCUAAUUGGUUAGGAAACCUGACUGAUACUCAGGAAAUGAAGGUUCAAGUCCUUACUUACCCA
rnacentral:tRNA from 1 species